UCAUAAACAAUUAUCAAUUGGUUUCAUCAUCAAAUCUGAGAUUCAACAAUCUUUCCCUUUUUGAUGAUGACAACCAAUUGAUGAUGGAGUUAACCUUAACUCCCUGUAUCAAUAUGUCAUAUUAAUAGAACAUUGAAUUCAGGCAGAAUUCAAGUAAUUAUAAAUUUCAUCAUGAAUAUUUGCAACAUGUCAUCAUGCAUAACAUGAUCAUACUUCUC
rnacentral:lncRNA from 1 species